GAUGAACGCUAGCGGCAGGCUUAACACAUGCAAGUCGAGGGGUAUAGUAGCAAUACUAGAGACCGGCGCACGGGUGCGUAACGCGUAUGCAAUCUACCUUUUGCAGAGGGAUAGCCCAGAGAAAUUUGGAUUAAUACCUCAUAGUAUAGCGACAUCGCAUGAUGAUGCUAUUAAAGUCACAACGGCAAAAGAUGAGCAUGCGUCCCAUUAGCUAGUUGGUAAGGUAACGGCUUACCAAGGCAACGAUGGGUAGGGGUCCUGAGAGGGAGAUCCCCCACACUGGUACUGAGACACGGACCAGACUCCUACGGGAGGCAGCAGUGAGGAAUAUUGGACAAUGGGCGCAGGCCUGAUCCAGCCAUGCCGCGUGUAGGAUGACGGUCCUAUGGAUUGUAAACUGCUUUUAUACAGGAAGAAACACUGGUUCGUGAACCAGCUUGACGGUACUGUAAGAAUAAGGAUCGGCUAACUCCGUG
rnacentral:rRNA from 1 species